UGGGGAAUUUUGGACAAUGGGGGAAACCCUGAUCCAGCCAUCCCGCGUGUGCGAUGAAGGCCUUCGGGUUGUAAAGCACUUUUGGCAGGAAAGAAACGUCAUGGGUUAAUACCCCGUGAAACUGACGGUACCUGCAGAAUAAGCACCGGCUAACUACGUGCCAGCAGCCGCGGUAAUACGUAGGGUGCAAGCGUUAAUCGGAAUUACUGGGCGUAAAGCGUGCGCAGGCGGUUCGGAAAGAAAGAUGUGAAAUCCCAGAGCUCAACUUUGGAACUGCAUUUUUAACUACCGGGCUAGAGUGUGUCAGAGGGAGGUGGAAUUCCGCGUGUAGCAGUGAAAUGCGUAAAUAUGCGGAGGAACACCGAUGGCGAAGGCAGCCUCCUGGGAUAACACUGACGCUCUUGCACGAAAGCGUGGGGAGCAAACAGG
rnacentral:rRNA from 1 species